UGGUCACUUACCAAGGCUAUCAGAAAUGCAGUUUCUGGUCUGCUGUGGAGAUGACCAUAAAGUAAAGCAAUCCCAGCUGGUUGUAGUUGUUCUUUGUAACACAACUGGUUGGGAACACUU